rnacentral:rRNA from 1 species
UACAGAGGUCUCAAGCGUUGUUCGGAUUCAUUGGGCGUAAAGGGUGUGUAGGUGGCGCGCUAAGUCGGGUGUGAAAUUUCGGAGCUUAACUCCGAAACUGCAUUCGAUACUGGCGUGCUUGAGGACUGGAGAGGAGACUGGAAUUCAUGGUGUAGCAGUGAAAUGCGUAGAGAUCAUGAGGAGACCAGUGGCGAAGGCGGGUCUCGUGGACAGUUCCUGACACUGAGACACGAAGGCCAGGGGAGCAAACGGG